GGCAAGUUGCUGCAGUGAGUGCUUAGAUGUUGGCCAGGGUACAGGUAGCCAGGUGGAAAGCAUGGCCAGCCGUGGAAAAAUGCUUAUUGAAAUGAUCGAUUAUCGUAGAUUUAUCGGUGGUGACAGUGUUUCCUAUCCUCAGUGCAGUGGGCAGCUGGGAGUAGGUGCUCUUAUUCUCCAUGGACUUUAGUGUCCCAAAACCUUUUGGAAUUAGUGCUACAGGAAGCAAAUUUCUGUUUGAAAUGCUAGCCUUAGCUUUCCUAACUGAUUGAGUAUAUUGGUUCCUGACUUCCCUGAAAAGUUGCAUAUCGUGGCGGCUAUUCGAUGCUAAUGCAGAACGCCACAGGAUGUUUUUGUGCUGGUCAAGGGCAGUCCAGUAUGGGGUGAACCAAGGGCUAUAUCUGUUCUUAGUUCUACAUUUUUUGAAUGGGGCAUUCUUAUUUAAAAUGGAGAGGAAAGCACUUUUGAAGAGCAACCAGGCAUCCUCUGCUGACGGAAUGAGGUCAAUAUCCUUCCAGGAUACCCAAGCCAGGUCGAUUAGAAAGGCCUGCUCGCUUCAGUGUUUUAGGGAGCGUUUGACAGUGAUGUGGGGUGAUCAUUUGACUGCGGACCCAGUACGCACGCAAGCAAUGAGGCUGAGAUCCUGGUUGAAGACAGCAGAGGUGUAUUUAGAGGGCAAGUUGGUCAGGAUGAUAUCUAUGAGGGUGCCCAUGUUUACGGAUUUAGGGUUGUACCUGGUAGGUUCCUUGAUGAUUGUGUGAGAUUGAGGGCAUCUACCUUAGAUUGUAGGACGGCCGGGGUGUUAAGCAUGUCCCAGUUUAGGUCACCUAACAGUACGAACUCUGAAGAUAGAUGGGGGACGAUCAAUUCACAUAUGGUGUCCAGGGCACGAUCAAUUCACAUAUGGUUUCCAGGGCACAACUGGGGGCCGAGGGGGGUCUAUAACAAGCGACAACGGUGAGAGACUUAUUUCUGGAGAGAUUAAUUUUUAAAAUUAGAAGCCCAAACUGUUUGGGCAUAGACCUGGAAAGUAAGGCAGAACUCUGCAGGCUAACUCCGCCCCCUUUGGCAGUUCUAUCUUGUCGGAAAACGUAAUAGUUAGGGAUGGACAUUUUUGGUGGCCUUUCUAAACCAGGAUUCAGACAGGGGUAGGACAUCCGGGUUGGCGGAGUGUGCUAAAGCAGUGAAUAAAACAAACUUAGGGAGGAGGCUUCUAAUGUUAACAUGCAUGAAACCAAUACUUUUACGGUUACAGAAGUCAACAAAUGAGAGCGCCUGGGGAAUGGGAGUGAUAAUGGGGGCUGCAGGGCCUGGGUUAACCUCUACAUAACCAGAGGACAAAGGAGGAGUAGGGUAAGAGUACGACUACAGGCUAAAAGAACUGGUCGUCUAGUGAUUUUGGAACAGAGAGUAAAAGGAGCAGGUUUCUGGGCGCGGAAGAAUAGAUUCAAGGUAUAAUGUACAGACAAGGGUACAGUAGGGUGUGAGUACAGUGGAGGUAAGCCUAGGCAUUGAGUGAUGAUGAGAGAGGUUUUGUCUCUAGAGGCACCAUUUAAGCCAGGUGCAGUCACUGCGUGUGUGGGGGGUGUAACAUAAGGGCUAGUUUAGGCAUAUUGAGCAGGGCUGGAGGCUCUACAGUGAAAUAAGACAAAAAUUACUAACCAAAACAGCAAUAGACAAGGCAUAAAAAAGAAGUACAUGAAAAGCACAAGAAUAUUCAGGUUUUUCAGUGUGUUUUAUUUUAAUUAUCUAAUGUGUAGUAUGGAAAUUCCAUUUGAAUGAUUUCAUUUAUUCUAACAGGAAAAGUUUAACAACUCAUUAUAGAAAAAUCAUUCAAAGCCCAACUUUCCUUCAAAAUUUGUUUGUUCCCACAUGCUUUAAUUUCUAUCAAUAUUUUAGAGUGCCCAGUGAUUUUGUGUUUGAGAUUAAGGCUUUAAUGAUGAUCACAGAACCUUUGGGGCAAAUUUUGCCUGCAUCAUUAAUAUCUCUAAAAACAAAGCCUUUUUUCCUCUCUUGGAGAUGGAGAGAGAAUAUGAAGGGGGAUGCACAGCUCAUUUGCUCUUCGAAACACAAGCCUCCCUAAGAAAGCACUUUAAAAAACAGCACUUUACUCUGCUGCUUCUUACUCAAUUCACAUGGAGCGACCACAUGAUCCAUGCAUUGGUUUAAACUUUGAAGUGACAAUCAUGCACUUAAAUUGCCACACCAUGAAGCUAAUCUUCGCCUAGAUGUUGAUAUCAUCCAUUUUAAUCUCAAAAGAGCUGCACCUUGAGAUAAACUGAUCCAGAUAGUGGCCCUGAAGUCAAUAGCCUACCCUUCAUCUUUAAGUUUUGUUUAACCUGAACCACUGUGACACUUUUGAAAUAAGGUCAAAAUCUUACAGUGUUAUGGCUUUCCGAUGCUAUUGUUUUGUCUAUUUGGAUUAUUUUGUUGUAGUAAUAACGACAGCUAGCAAUGUCAAAUGGAGUUGAUAUCUACCCUAAAUUCUAUAUUUUUUUCACAAUUUAAGUGAAU
rnacentral:lncRNA from 1 species